UACGGAAGGGGCAAGCGUUGUUCGGAAUCAUUGGGCGUAAAGAGCGCGUAGGUGGUUCUGUAUGUCUACCGUGAAAGCGUACGGCUCAACCGUAUUUUGUCGGUAGAAACUGCAGGACUUGAGGCUGGGAGGGGCUGGUGGAAUUCCCUGUGUAGCGGUGAAAUGCGUAGAGAUGGGGGAGAACACUCGUGGCGAAGGCGGCCAGCUAGACCAGUUCUGACACUGAGGCGCGACAGCGUGGGGAGCAAACAGG
rnacentral:rRNA from 1 species